rnacentral:rRNA from 1 species
UACGUAGGGUGCGAGCGUUAAUCGGAAUUACUGGGCGUAAAGCGUGCGCAGGCGGUUCGCUAAGACCGAUGUGAAAUCCCCCGGCUUAACCUGGGAACUGCGUCUGAUACUGGGAGGCUAGAGUGCGGGAGAGGGAUGCGGAAUUCCAGGUGUAGCGGUGAAAUGCGUAGAUAUCUGGAGGAACACCGGUGGCGAAGGCGGCAUCCUGGACCGACACUGACGCUGAGGCGCGAAAGCUAGGGUAGCAAACGGG